rnacentral:tRNA from 1 species
CGUCCGGUAGCUCAAUGGAGAGCAACAGCCUCUUAAGCUGUGGGAUACGGGUUCAAAUCCCGUCCAGACAACCA